AUGGACUCUCCGAGGCCCGCAGGGCGGCUCGACCGCGGGACCGGGCGGGCGGAGCCCCGUCCCGACAAACUUCCCGGCCGCGGCCCCAGCCUCACCUCCGGGAGCGCUCUACACCCUCGGCGGCGUCCUGGCCCGCGGCUCCGGGACCUCGCGCGCCGGGAGACCGGGCGCCGGCGGCGGCAGUGGUUGCUGACCCCGCAGGGUCGGGGUAGCCCGGGGAAGCAGCGGUGGCGGCGGCGCUGGCGGCGGAGGCUCCAUCUUCCCGGGGCGCUCACGCCGCGGUUCCGACGCGCAGACCCGAGCGGGACAUUCGCUACAUUGUUGGCAUUCCACGGGCGUCACGUGACCCCUCCUCCCGCGUCACUCCCGGCCGCAUACCAGCCCGGGCGGGGCGCCCGCGGCCUUGCUCCCCGGCGCCCGCUCCGCCCCGCCGGCCGCUUCCUGCACCUCCCGGCCCGGCCGCCACCUGCCCUGCGGUGGAAGUCCGCAGCCCGGGAGCGCCGCUUCUCCCUAGCGCCUUGUAGCAGUGGGUUAAAAAAAAAACAGAACAGUACGGACCCUCCAGCGAGACUGGCGUUUACACUUCGGCCACUCCUUUAGCCUCCAUUUGGGGAUUUGGUCCAGGGACAGACGCUGAGAAGAAAUAACAGCGUGGAAGCCAAGUCCUCCAUUUACUAUUGGCUGUCUAACAUCACACUUCCCACCACCUACGGUCUGUGGUAAGUGAUGGUGAGGACUAAUGGUUUCAAAAGUCAACCUGGUUUCCUCUUUAAUUAACAAUCGUGACAUUUGAAGUUUCAAUUCCGGAAGAGACAAUAACGAAGAUCUUUUGUUCCAGCUUUUAUUUUAUUUUUGUACUGGGGAAGGAAUUCAAGCUCUCUCUCCUGUGCUAAAUUCAGGCUGUUUUACCAGAGGAACCCUUGUCCGGACUGUUUUAUAAUUGCCUCACCAGCCUUUAGUCCUGAACUGUGUCCCCCAACCCCACCAAAAAAAAAAAAAAAAAAAAAAAAAAAAAAAAAAAAAAAUCCCUUAAGUCUUCUUCCAGAGAAUCUCCCCAUAGUUCUCAUUUCUCUGUCCUUUGAACUUUCAUAAGUAACCCUCCUGCAGAUUGCAGAUUAGCUUUUUUUUUUUUUUUUUUUGUCAGCCUGACCCUGUGUGCUUACACUGACAUCUUGCACGGUGAUGGGAGCCCAAUACAUCUCCAACAAUUCAGCCUGUGAAAGAGGAGCCCUGAUUGGCCGUCGGUGGUGGCAGCGCAUUUAAUCCCUGCACUCCAGAGGCAGAGGCAGGCGGAUCUCUGAGUUUGAGGCCAACUUGGUCUAUAGAAUUGAGUUCCAAGACAGCCAGGGAUACACAGAGAAACCCUGUCUCAAAAUGAAUAAAUAAAAUAAAAAAGAAAAGUACA
rnacentral:lncRNA from 1 species